rnacentral:tRNA from 4 species
GGUUCUUUAGCUCAGUUGGUCAGAGCUAAUGGCUCAUAACCGUUCGGUCGCUGGUUCGAGUCCAGCAAGAACCA